CAGAAGAGAAAGAGAAAGAUCCCACAGAAGGGAGUGAAGAAAGCCAGCAGCUAGCUUUAUUUGUUGGCCCUCAAGCCCUGCAAGCUGGGAACCAAAACCUUCACAGUUUCUCCCCCUUCGUCUCUCUCCAAGCUCGAUCCCAAAUCCAUGUCCAUGUCGAGAACCAGCUAAGCCCCUGCUAGGGUUUGCUCAGUUUGGGAAGGUGGGAUGGGGUUUCCCGCAGUGGGUGGUGAGUUUGCACCACAAAAAGUGCCUCCUUUGGGUGAUAUUUUAAUGCCUAUUUGCUUUUGAGUAAGGAAAUCCUCCUCCUCUUCCUCCUCUUCCUCUUCCUCCUCCUCCAGGGCUAUAAAACUUCUACACCUCAACCGUAGUCCCUCAUCUUCUCCUCCACUUUCUCUUUGCCUCUUUUUCUUCAGAGAUCAGGUGGCAUUGGGUUUGCAGAUCCAGUGGUGUUUCUUUGUAUCCAUGGGGAGAGUUUUAUGGGGCUUCAUUCUCGUUGAGAGGAAGAAGAGAUGACAAAGGGUUGUUCUCUCUACUCUCUUUCUUUCACCCAUGCAGAGAAGAACAGGUGAUGGUGGGAAGAGUACAGGUGAAAUGGGUUGUGCCUGGCUCCCUGUAUGCCACACGUAUAGACCAAUCCUUGGAGUGAUUGGCUACUGUGGGUGGCGUGCAAGGAGCCAAGCAUGCCGCCUUCUCUCUCUCUCUCUCUCUCUCUCUCUCUCUCUCUCUCUCUAUGCAUGAUCUUGCAGUCAUUUUAUGUAAGAGAUCAUAUACUUUAAGUUUGAUAUCGAUGAAGGUUUCAUUCUUUUGCAGGUCUAGUCACCAACCUCACGACGGAGAGAGAGAGAGAGAGAGAGAGAGAGAGAGAGAGUCUAAGAUUGGUGUUCUUCUGCUCACUACAAGUCGUGCUCAUGACACAGAAGUGGGUCUCAGUUUCUUGCAUUACAUGAACAUGGAUGAAACCAAGGAAUCCACGACAUGGAUUUGGAUCCAGCAGCCUUGACAGUAAGGAUGCCAUCAUAUCUUCUCUUUGCUUACGUUGUGUGCUGGUCUGCACUAUGGAUUCCGUUCUUAUGCUUAGUCCAUUCUGUCUGCUAGAUCUCAGAUGUGUCAGUCCCUCCAAGUAGUCUUUCACUUCUACGGAUCUCCUUAAAGAACAACAACAUGAUCACGAGCGAGAAUGCUCUGUAACAUCUCAAAUCUCUCCCUUCUCUUUCUGGUCUUUCUGCUGAACUUGCUCAAAUGACGUCCGCAUCAUUCGCUGCAAGAGUUGGGAGCUCCCAUCUCCUCUCAUGCAGUCAGUUGAUCAUCACACCGACAUCUCCUACACCCAGUGAUAACAACAACAGCUUCGCUGUUCUCAACAACUCCUCCAUCUUACAACGAAGCCACAAUCGAGUUCAACGAUCAAACACGAGUUCAAAGCUCAAUUUGACGCCUCAAUCUGAAACCAUUCCGUUCCAAGUCUCUCUUCAGGUGUUCUUCUAGUGGUCUACUGCUGUUCGUUCUCUCUCACUAUCUCUUGCAUGGUGGAGCACAGCAGCUCCCUCCGCUGGGUUGGAGGGGCUUCUAUACCACCAUACUUUUAUGCCUUGCUUUUGUUGGUGGCAGUGCAAGCAAGAAGAGAGCCCAAGUGUUUUGGCUCAGAGGGUUGCCAGCUUUCUACCCUUCCGAGGUCUGAGCAGCUUUGUGUGACAUCCAAAGGGAAUUUUCAAGGUUAGGGAACGAAGCCCAUCCGUCAUCAAGUACUCCGAAACCCUAUUUCCCUGUCUCCAAGACAUACAUAGAGAAUGGAGCAGCUCGACUGGACUACUCUCCUCAACUUGAGGUCACAUGCACAUCUUAAAGCACCGAGGAUCUCCAUGGACAGGGACUUCUCCUGCAGGAUCCAAGAUCUGAGGUCAAUAAUGUUCUGAUGAUGCAGUACAAGCUCCUCAGAUGGAAUAUAUUCCACAUGAUGCUUGAGGCUGUGAUGUACUUAGGAAGAUGCACAAGCAUUCUAUGAGUGUAACUACAUCAACAUGUAGAUUUCUCGGAAGAGGUCCAGCCGAGACCGUGUGAAGAUGAACAGAAAAACAUCAGUCAUCAAAGCAUCCUAAAGAAUUUUGGGAUAGCAUUUCGAUGCAUACCUUACAGCCGAUAUCACCUGAUUAAUCUAAUCUUAGAUUCUUUGUCA